AGUGGCAUAUAGAGAAGCGUAUCAAAAUUUUAAUGCAAGAGUUUGAAUAUCUGGAGAGAGAUGUUCAUGGGUCCAAUUGAACGUGGAUUAUGCUCUCAACAUGAGUCUCACAACCCUCAUUAGAUCACAUUCAACUCCACUGGAAGGAAGUUCGAUCUCUUCUUCACGGCAAAGCCAAUCCACAACCCAAGUUGUAAUUUUCUCGCAACUUCAUUUCUCAAGAAGAAGUCCAUGCGCCGCCAAGCGCUUUGGUAAGGAACCUGGUUAAAAAGAAUAAAAAUUUGGAAAUAGAUUUGAAGCAAAAGCUUUUCUCCAGACAUCUUUUUUU
rnacentral:lncRNA from 1 species